rnacentral:lncRNA from 1 species
AACAAAACACAAAACACCUGAAUCUGACGCAGCUUCUACAUCUGUUUGCAGGACAUACAGGAGACAGAAGAACAUAACGAAGGACACCAAGUGCAACCAGCCAAAUCAGACAGGUACCUUUGUGAGAGGUACCAACAAAAUGCAAUGCAUAGAUCCUGUGUGGAUUCUGAUCUGAACCAGUCAACAGUCAAGACAUUUAUAAGACAAUCAGGGAAAUCUGGAGACAGGUUGGAUACUGAAUAAAAUUAAGAAAUUAUUUGUUUUUAGGUGUGAUAAAGGUGUUCUUUUUUUGAAAGAACCUUGUGUUUUAGAGAUACAUAUAAAAGUAUUUGUGGAUGAAAUAUGCCGUCCGGGAUUUACACUAAUUCUGCAGGGAGGGAGGCAGAAAAAAUAAAACAGGAUUGGCCAUACGUUGAUAAUCGUUGAAGAAAGGUGCUGGGUACCUGGAGGGUCAUUACCCCAUUCUUCCCGUGUGCAGGGUUGAACAUUACCAUAAUAGGGUGGGGUUUUUGUUGUUUGUUUUGUUUGUUUUUUAAAGGAGGGAGAGGGGGUAACUGUGAAGGAAAAGAGAGAAAAGAAGGGGAAGGGAUUGUUUUCUUUUAAGACUGAAGCGCCACGAACAGUCUCGAGAGCCGGCAAGGGUUAGUGGAGAUUCAGGAGAGCCGCAGGCGGCUGAGCUGGCUCCAGGGCAUACACAGCGGCGGGGGUCUGGUCUCGCAGUUCCCUGAGUAAGGGAUUGCGCAGCACCCCACGCCCCCACGCCGUUGCUUUAAAGCGGCGGCGACUCCCGGGACUGAACAGCUGCUGCCCCUACCCACCCGCUAAGGUCCAUCUGGCUAGACCAACCGCCCGCGCCGGCGCAGCAUUUCCUCCACGGGGCGCGGGCCUCCGCUCCGCCACCCCACAAUUCCCCGCGCCGCUCCGGAGGCGCGCUCUCGGUGGGGGUGAGGUCUCAGCCCCCAGAUUUGAGCAAGGUGGAAGCAGAUAAUUUGGAGCCCCAGGAAAUGAUGGAGGCACAAGAUUAACCAGUCUGCUGUGUGAGUCACCAGAUGGAGGACAGAUGCCAACCAAGCAGGACACCUGUGGCAAGAAAUCAACUAUUGUAUGAAGUCACUGAAAUCAAGGGAGUUCUUUGUUACAGUAGCUGACAUUACACUUACUGAUACUCCGACCCUUCCUCUCUGGGCCCCUGAUAUCAAUAAACCUUGAGCACCC